AUCGCUUCUCGGCCUUUUGGCUAAGAUCAAAGUGUAGUAUCUGUUCUUAUCAGCUUAAUCUGACGUUUUAUUUUGUUUUUUUUUUUAGAUGUGCAGACCAUGCUGAUGGAGUAGUUUACUCGUCUGGUGGACGGAGCUGAAAGCGGAGCCGAGGUGGACCCUACGUAAGUUUUGCUUUCUUUCUCUCUCU